ACUUCCUGUAUCUAAGUAAGCAUGAAAUUUAAUUCUACAAUAAUCUUUUAUAUUGAGUGUAAUUUCAAUAUAUGGACUCAUGGGAUUAGUACUUAUUACUCUUUCCAUGAUAAUAAUGAUUUCAUAUUUUCAUCUAUUCUUGGAAUGAUGAUUGGAUUAUCAUCAACUGUUAUUUUCAAGUAUCCUUGACAGAUUUUGUAAGGACUAUAUUUUUCAAGAAAGUUCAUUCCUAAUAGAAUAGGUGAACGAUUCACUCCAUAU
rnacentral:lncRNA from 1 species